rnacentral:rRNA from 1 species
AACGAACGCUGGCGGCAGCCCUAACACAUGCAAGUCGAGCGGGAUCUUCGGAUCUAGUGGCGGACGGGUGAGUAACGCGUGGGAACGUGCCCUUUGGUUCGGAAUAGCCCUGGGAAACUGGGAGUAAUACCGGAUACGGUCGAGAGGCGAAAGAUUUAUCGCCGAAGGAUCGGCCCGCGUUGGAUUAGGUAGUUGGUGGG